rnacentral:rRNA from 1 species
UACGUAGGGUGCGAGCGUUAAUCGGAAUUACUGGGCGUAAAGCGUGCGCAGGCGGCUGUGCAAGACAGAUGUGAAAUCCCCGGGCUCAACCUGGGAACUGCAUUUGUGACUGCAUCGCUGGAGUGCGGCAGAGGGGGAUGGAAUUCCGCGUGUAGCAGUGAAAUGCGUAGAUAUGCGGAGGAACACCGAUGGCGAAGGCAAUCCCCUGGGCCUGCACUGACGCUCAUGCACGAAAGCGUGGGGAGCAAACAGG